rnacentral:rRNA from 1 species
GACGAACUGAGCGAACGUUGUUCGGAAUCACUGGGCUUAAAGGGCGCGUAGGCGGGCUGCCGCGUCCGGGGUGAAAUCCCACGGCUCAACCGUGGAACGGCCCCGGGUACGGGCGGCCUCGAGGGGGGUAGGGGCGUGCGGAACUGUGGGUGGAGCGGUGAAAUGCGUUGAUAUCCACAGGAACUCCGGUGGCGAAGGCGGCACGCUGGACCCCCACUGACGCUGAGGCGCGAAAGCCAGGGGAGCGAACGGG